CCUACGGGUGGCAGCAGUGGGGAAUAUUGCACAAUGGGGGAAACCCUGAUGCAGCGACGCCGCGUGAGUGAAGAAGUAUUUCGGUACGUAAAGCUCUAUCAGCAGGGAAGAAAAUGACGGUACCUGACUAAGAAGCCCCGGCUAACUACGUGCCAGCAGCCGCGGUAAUACGUAGGGGGCAAGCGUUAUCCGGAUUUACUGGGUGUAAAGGGAGCGUAGACGGCAGCGCAAGUCUGGAGUGAAAUCCCAUGGCUUAACCAUGGAACUGCUUCGGAAACUGUGCAGCUAGAGUGCAGGAGAGGUAAGCGGAAUUCCUAGUGUAGCGGUGAAAUGCGUAGAUAUUAGGAGGAACACCAGUGGCGAAGGCGGCUUACUGGACUGUAACUGACGUUGAGGCUCGAAAGCGUGGGGAGCAAACAGGAUUAGAUACCCCAGUAGUC
rnacentral:rRNA from 1 species